GUUAGGUUCCUUCGGUUUUCCUUUCAGAUUCUAAAAUAAAUACACGCCCAGGCCCUGGGGAAAUCCGAAUAGCAACUCAUUCAAUAAUCCAAAUUAUAUGAGAGGGUCUGAGACAGAGAGAGAGGGAAAAAAAAGAGAAAAAAGGACAAUCCAACCACAGACGCCCUCGGAUCAAGGAGGGCACGGGAGUGAGAAGGCGACAGAGGAGGUCCCCAGCUCGCCCUGGGCGCGGGGAGAGGACUCUGGUCAGAGGUAAUUAUGUCACUGCGUUUUCUCGCCGUGACAGCCGAAUAAACACGAUCUCCAAUAAACAUCUCUAAUGAGGGAGGAGGCCCGAGGAUGACUGGGUUUGAUUUAUGACUGGAGGAGAAAGUCCACUUCCCACUGCGAAGCGGGCACCCUGCUCGCCGCCCAGCUCCGGAGGAAGGAAACCGCGGAGCAGAGGACCGGGCCCAGGCUCUCAAAAGUCGAUACGACCCUCAUUUCGACCCACGAUUCUGCUAAUGCACCUGCCAUAGAGGAACGUUCUCCGGAAAGGUGUGUCAUCCACGCCUGGUGUGAGCCAAGCCAGCAGGACUGUCGUUGGAGAAGACCCAGCGGCCUGACACCUUCUCUUGCUCCCGGGGAAGGAAAGUUUUCCUUUUGAUUCGUCCUCUCACUAUGUCUCUCUUUUUCCUUGGCGGUACAGUUUCAGAGAGGAAUGUAAAUAUUUUGACUAGACCUCUGCAGGGGCCUUUUAAACCCCAGGCACAGUCAUCGGUGCAAUACUGUAGUUCAUCGUUUUAAAACUUGAAUGUUAGAGUUUGUCUUGCCGGGGGAACCCAUAGAACUAAGUGGUGACCCCUCAACUCCCUGUUUGUAUAAUGAAGUAUUCCUUAGCGAUUGUCCAAGUUUUAAGGACUCUUUCUGUUGCUGCUGCUUUCUAAUUGUUUGAGGGGAAGGAAAAUCAAUCUAAGAGGCGUGUUGCUGGGCUUGGGGCAAAAUCAGAUUUCACCAUGCUUCACUCUUAGCUCUUCUGUCUUUCCUCCUGUGGGGCAUGGACCCGAGGUAGAGAUUUUAUUUUUAUUUUUAUUUUUUUGCCAAAGGGGAAAUCUUUUUUGAAAAAUUCAAAAAUUUUCCAAAUUAAAACCCUGUUUAGCUCUUCUGUGCAUGUGAAGUAGGAAUUUUCUUUUCCUGCUUUAGUAUUUAAUACAAAGCAGAUACGUUGAAACAGAAUGCAAAGUUCAGAAAAACCAAAAUAAGGAGGAAAAGGAUGCUAAGGUUUCUCUAGGUUCUGUACAUAAGGCAAAUAAGGCAAUGUGCUUUUUUUUUUUUUUUUCUCUCCAAACUGAAGCAAAACUUGCCAGGAGGCACAACACAGCACUGAAUGUGUAUUUUAUAUACAUAUAUUAAAAUACAUAUAUAUAUACAUAUAUAUAUACACACACAUACAUACACACACAUAUAUGUAUAGCAAACAUUCCCCAAUAUUGAUACACCUGUGACUUCAUAGUCUGAAAAUAUUUCUAAACACAGUCAUGGUAUAAAAACAUUGAUUUCAAUUCUGGUCUUGUAGUUAUUAAGGUAGCACUAAUGUUAUUCUUGAUCUUAAAAUACUUUCACUGUUAAUGUCAGUUGUGGCCACUUUAAACCCUGGAUACUCUAGCAAAACCGCCUAUAAUGUGCUUAUUUCUUUAUCCCAUUCUCCUGUAGUGUAAUUAAUAUUUUUACAGAAAAUAUUUUGAGCAUCCUUAAGUCCUUUUUAAAAUCAAAUACUCCAUGUUUGUGACAAGUAAGGCUGAUCAUUUUUAUUUUGUUUGUAGAAAAUUCAUUUUACUGAAAUAAAGUAUAAUACUGAAAAUUUAAAA